rnacentral:rRNA from 1 species
CAAGUCCGGCAGGGAUAAACGCUGAAGGCAUCUAAGCGUGAAGCCCCCCUCAAGAUGAGAUAUCCCAGAAUGUAAGACCCCUUAAAGAGAAUGAGGUAGAUAGGCUCAAGGUGGAAGCACAGCAAUGUGUGCAGCAGAUGAGUACUAAUCGGUCGAGGGCUUAACCAA